ensembl:lncRNA
UAAAUAUAUAAAUAGAUAAAUAAAUAAAUAUGAUGGAAACAUAAAUAUGAUGGAGAUAUAUGACAUAAAUCAUCAUUUUCUCCAUUUGCUGUGUAUGUAUCUUGUAUCAUCUACCUACCUAUAUCUAAUUUAGAGUUUUUCAGUAUCAGUAUCAGGUGUCAGUACUGCUGGCAUUUUGAACUGAAUAAUUCUGGGGGUGAGGAUACGAUCCUGUGUAUUUUAGGGUAUAUAGCAGCAUCCUGGGCCUCUAUCUACUAGAUUUUGGUAGCGAUAUUCCCCCUGCUCCAAAUUGUGACAAUCACAAAUAUCUCCAAACAAUGCCAGAUGUCCCUGUGAGGUGGGGAGGGACUGAUCCAAUUUAUCAUCUGUUCAUUUAUUUUUCCUGGAUAAAUGUAAAAAUGUUCAGAAAGCACAGAGUAGAAAUUAUUAUUCCCAUCUUGCAGAUGAAGAAACUGAGACUGAGAGUUUUGGUGACUGGCACACAGUUACAUAAAUAUUAAGAGAUGGCACAGAAUUGCAAAAGUAGAUUUUCCUCAUCAAAAAAAAAUCCAUGUCCUUUCUAUGAUACUAGGCUAUUUUAAAUUAAACAUAAUGCUAUAUUUUAUCAUCAAUGCCAUCAUUCUCCUUUAUUCUCAAUUUAAAAUCAUCCUCACACUUAAUUCUGACUCUCGAGAAACAUAUGUCUUCCAGCCAAAACAUAUGUAAAUGUAUUUAAACCCCAAACCCUCUUUGUAAAAAAAUUUAUUUUAGAUUCAGAAGCACACAUGCAGGUUCCAUGGGUAUAUGGCACAAUGGUGGAGUUUGGGCUUUAAGUACUCAUCACUCAAAUAGUGACUAUUUUAUAAAAUCCUAUCCUCCACUCAAGACUUAACCCUAUUUCCAAUCCCAAUUCUUAGUGACACAAUUGCUUUCUCAAUUUUGUUUCCUAUGAUCCCAGACCAUGAGGAUGUUAGCAGAGAAGAGGGAGUCCUGAAAUGCCAGUUAACCCAGCAGAAGUUGAUGAGCUCACUUACAGCCAGGGACAUGGUUUCCCAGGUAUACAGUUCCACUGUAAAUGAGGUGGUGGGUUUCUUCACCUCUGCCGAUCCACUGAAUUUUAUAAGAAAAGCCAGUGGGCUCCCAGACAAAGUUAAAAAGGUACCUUCUUUAAUUUUGCAUAUUGUUAGCUGCAAUCCGGUUGCUAAUGUUUGUUUUAUUUCCAUCUGUCAAAAGCAAUGCCAAAAUACGUAGUGUUUGCCUUGAGUUGGCUCAAUUAAUCCUCCGCUGGAAACAGUUCUGUCAUUUCAUGUUUGGUUAAGGACCUGAUUCAGUGGCUCCCAAACUGAGAGCUCAUCUUUGCCAACGGCAGCCAGUAUAUGUUUUACUACAAAUUUAUGGGAAUAUCCACUUGACAAAGACAAAAGAGAAAGGUAGGGUGGAGCCCUUAUAGGAAUGUUGAUUUGGGGCCAGCUCCAUGUCUGCCUUGGACACAGAUAACAACAUCCUGGGCUUGGCCCUGUUGACCUGCUCUUGUGACACUAAAAGAACAGCUAGGCUGGGCGAGGUGGCUCACGCCUGUAAUCCCAGCACUUUGGGAGGCCAAGGUGGACAGAUCACCUGAGGUCAGGAGUUUGAGACAGCCUGGCCAACAUGGUGAAACCCCAUCUCUUCUAAAAAUACAAAAAUUAGCCAGGUGUGAUGGUGCAUUCCUGUAAUCCCAGCUACUCAGGAGGCUGAGGCAGGAGAAUCGCUUGAACCUGGGAGGCAGAGUUUGCAUUGAGCCAAGAUGAUGCCAUUGCACUCCAGCCUGGGCAACAAGAGCGAAACUCUGUCUCAAAAAACAAACAAACAAACAACUAAUGGGUUACCCUGGGUGAGUGGCUUUGAAGGGUCUCAGUGUGGGGCAGACCCCAAGAAGUGCAGCCUCAGUGUAAGUCUAAUGAUGGUGGAUUAGUUUCUUAGGGCUGCAAUAACAAAAUACCACAGACUGGGUGGCUUAAACAACAGACUUAACUUUCUCAAAGUACUGGAGGCAGGAAGUUUGAGAUCAAGGUGUUGGCACCGCUGGUUUCUUCUGAGGCCUCUCCCCUUGGCGUGUAGAUGGCUUCCUUCUCCCUGUGUCCUCACAUGGUCUUCCUUCUGCACUUUCUGUGUCCAAAUUUCCUCUUCUUAUGGAAACAUCAGUCAUACUGGAUUAGGGCCUAGCCAUAUGGCCUCAUUUUACCUUAAUUACCUCUUUAAAGGCCUUAUCUCCACAUACAGUUACACUCUGAGGUACUGGGGGUUAGGACUUCAGCAUAGGAAUUUUGGGCAGACACCACUCAGCUCAUAACAGAUGGUAGCCAAAAUAACAUAGUACAAAAUCAAUGCAUAAUGAGAUAAGAAGGGAAAGAUCUCAGAACAAACAAUGUAAAAGCAAC